AAAUUUAGGGGCGCAAAUAGAAUUCCCCAAAUACUUGAUCUAGUCUCUGGACACUGGAGCCUCCCCGCACUUCUGAAAACAAAGAGCAAGCCUCUCGACACUUGCAUUUUCAGUCCAACCCAUUAGAGCCCUCUCUGCUGUGCGCCCUCCAUCUUCAUCUUUCAUUUUCAGUCCCAGCUCCCUCCUUUCAGUCUCUUGCUCGAUCACACCCAGCCUAUUCUUCUCAACAGAAAGAGGAAAACGCUAGGUUUUCACAUUUGAAAAGAAACAGCGGCACCAACCAAUUCAAAGAUCCAGAAGGAAGAAGGAAGAAGAAAGAAAUUUCAAAAGGACCUCUUCUUCUCCACUGAAAGUUCUGCUGCUGCAUCUGCUCCACCAGAAAGUUUUACAGGCUCUGAGCUAAGCAGAAAAAUGGCCUUAAUGAGGGGAGAGCCACUAGUGACGAAGCUUGCAGUGUUGGCCAAGUACGUGGUUCUUCCUGGAGCCAUGGUCGCCGCCCUCAUCUAUUCACCUCCUGAUUACACUUCUUCCAAGAACGAUCCUAAGUCCACCAAAUAAGACGUAGCUCGGGCCGUACUGCAUAGAAGUGGAUGUUAGAGAUGUGCUCUCCUCCCGUUCAAAUUUCGUAUGGAAUAAUCUAAGCCUAAUAGUUGCUCAAGUUGAGGGAUUUUUCCUGCUUUCUUUGAAGAACUUUGACAUGAACUCUUUAAAUGUACUUCCUUAUUACCAGAUUUCCUCUGUCAAUCCCUUAAUCGAAUGACUCUCGACGAAGAACACUUGAUUACAAUAAUUGUUAGAUGAUAUUUGCCAGACUUGGUUAGAGAUGAAAUCUCAUUGGAUGACUAGUGCUGCGACUGAUGA